rnacentral:rRNA from 1 species
AGUGAACGCUGGCGGCAGGCCUAACACAUGCAAGUCGAGCGGCAGCGCGGGGCAACCUGGCGGCGAGCGGCGGACGGGUGAGGAAUACGUCGGAAUCUGCCUUUUUGUGGGGGAUAACGUAGGGAAACUUACGCUAAUACCGCAUACGACCUACGGGUGAAAGUGGGGGACCGCAAGGCCUCACGCAGAAAGAUGAGCCGACGUCCGAUUAGCUAGUUGGUGAGGUAAUGGCUCACCAAGGCGACGAUCGGUAGCUGGUCUGAGAGGAUGAUCAGCCACACUGGGACUGAGAAACGGCUCAGACUCCUACGGGAGGCAGCAGUGGGGAAUAUUGGACAAUGGGCGCAAGCCUGAUUCAGCCAUGCCGCGUGUGUGAAGAAGGCCUUCGGGUUGUAAAGCACUUUUGUCCGGAAAGAAAUCCUGAAGAUUAAUACUCUUUGGGGAUGACGGUACCGGAAGAAUAAGCACCGGCUAACUUCGUGCCAGCCGCCGCAGUAA